rnacentral:ncRNA from 1 species
AAAGGGGAGCUGGGUAUUCCCGGCUGAGACAGGUCCACAAGAGGAUCUGAACCCUGGAACCUGAUCCGGAUAAUGCCGGCGUAGGAAACAGUA